GGAGAUUUAGCUCAGUGGUAGAGCACUUGCCUAGCAAGCACAAGGCCCUGUGUUCGGUCCCCAGCUCCA
rfam:Rattus norvegicus chromosome 3, whole genome shotgun sequence.